ensembl:lncRNA
AAAACUCUAUGAAGAGAGUAGAGUCCAUCUCCUCAGUAAGACAGAAAUGCAUUUGUCCACCCUCGAAUGCAUGGAUAAGGAACAUAAUAAGCAUUGCAUAACAUUUUACCAAGUGUUAUCUGGAAAUCCAGGAUGGAAACUUGUUGGAAGAUAACAAGAGUGAAUAGGCUGCAGCGUGGAUAUCAGAUGUGGUCCUCCACUGCCUGCAGAGGAAUCCUGACCCAGUGCCUAGAGUACCUCUCUGUCUUUCUUCUCUGACCUUGGUUUCUGCAGAAUUGUUGCAGGAGAAGAAGUUAGAAGAGUCAUGAUGAGAGAGUGAAGUCGAGCCUAGGAAAAAGAGAGCAAGCUGACUUCAUUAAAAGGAAGAAUUCAGAACUAUUGUUCCUGCAGGAGCAACGAGAGGAACAAUAUGUCAAAAAGUAAGUCCAGCAGACCAUGCAGAAGUUUGGGACCUGGAAAAUGUAGCGUAUGAGAGGCAAAGACAAUCGUGUGGUCUAGGCAGAAGAACAGAAGUCAAAGGCAAAUUUUAUUUGCAGUUUUUCAGUUUUUAAAUGGGAUACACAGCAAAGCCAGAAUGAGAACACUCCUAGAAAUGCACAGAGGAAAGGCAAAAGGCUAUAGUCAGAGCUUCAAGAAUGAGAAAAGAAGUUUCUCCAUAAAAAUGGUUAGACACAGGAGCAGGUUGUACAGACAGACUGCACUAUCCCAGUCCUUAGAGAUAAGUCACAACUCAGAUAGACAAAACCCUCAGCAGCUCAAUUUAACUUAGAAGUUUGUAAUCUCCCUGGGGUCCUUUUCAGGAGGCCAGAAUUGAUGACUUCAGGGUAUGAAGGGAUACCCCCCUUUUUUUUUAAUUUAUUGUUUGUUUGUUUUUGUGAUUCUAUUACCCAAAUGCAUUCUAUACAAACAGUAAUUCCUGUCACUGUCAGUGAACACUCAUACCAUGUAAAUAUACUAUUCUCCUCUAUCAUGCUAUUAGUAUAGCACUGAUGUUGUCAAAGAUGAGGUAAAGAGGAUUUAUCUGCAAGGAUUUAAUUUUCAUUGCUUUUCAUUAAAUUCAGUGUAUUUUCUCAUUCUCUGUAGUUAUGAAAAUGUACCCUGGAAUUACCUGGUAUGAUAACUCAAAAUGCCCUGUUCUAAACAUAUGUCACUAAACACUUCAGUUGUGAUACAGUAUUUCUUGGAAAGGAGACAUAUAAGUUCACCAUUUAAACUGACUAACUUCUCUAUACUACAGUCCUUGUACUUUAUGUUGAUGUGCCAUUUAUGUAAGAGAUAAACAAGUUCUGACUAUUUAGAUCAAUUAAGUCUCCAGUAACUUCCUGUUUGGCUCACAAGUAGAUCCAGAAGCCUAACUUUAGAAGACUUGCCACUUUUGUCUUUAAAUUCAAUCAAGGUCUUUACUGAAAAUAAUGUGCAUAAAAAGCACAGACAUGCAGAACUAGUGAAGUGUCAAAGUCUCUGGAACAAUAAUGUGAUUAAAGUUUUUGCUGAAUUAAGCUAACAUCCUAAUCCUUACACCUUAGCUAAGACUCUAGAUCUGUAAAUCUCAGUUCUAACAGUUUAAAAUGCCAUUUCCACUACUCACACAAGUAAACCAAAGCAGGAAGGAAAGUGAUUCUGCACUUCAUGCAAAAUUCUUAGAUCUUGUUGAUGCUAGCAAUCACUGCAGUGGAACAGUUAAUUAAUGGCAUAUAUUACUAAGUGUAUUCACAGACUGAUGCUAUAAAAAUUAUUUCUGGUUAAAACAGUACAUACUACAAAAUAUUUAUCAUAUUCAGCAAUCUAUUUUAACACCAGUAUUUCAGAUAUUAGGCCCCUAAAACCAUGGUUAUAUUUUGAAGAGCCUGAAAUUAUGCAAACUUAAAUUUACUAAAUAAGAGUAACUAGUUAACCUGGGUUUUUCCACUACAAUUGUCUCAAAUAAGAGAAUUGCCAUAGUUUGUUCUUACUAUAUAAGGACCGCAUAUCUUGUCUUUAUUAAUAAUAGUAAUGAAUAGAGAGAAAAAAAUGAAAAAGAGAAAGAAAGCAAGGAGAGAAAAAGAAAU